rnacentral:rRNA from 1 species
AACUUAGCAGAGAUGCUUUGGUGCCUUCGGGAACUCUGAGACAGGUGCUGCAUGGCUGUCGUCAGCUCGUGUUGUGAAAUGUUGGGUUAAGUCCCGCAACGAGCGCAACCCUUAUCCUUGUUGCCAGCGGUCCGGCCGGGAACUCAAAGGAGACUGCCAGUGAUAAACUGGAGGAAGGUGGGGAUGACGUCAAGUCAUCAUGGCCCUUACGAGUAGGGCUACACACGUGCUACAAUGGCGCAUACAAAGAGAAGCGACCUCGCGAGAGCAAGCGGACCUCAUAAAGUGCGUCGUAGUCCGGAUUGGAGUCUGCAACUCGACUCCAUGAAGUCGGAAUCGCUAGUAAUCGUAGAUCAGAAUGCUACGGUGAAUACGUUCCCGGGCCUUGUACACACCGCCCGUCACACCAUGGGAGUGGGUUGCAAAAGAAGUAGGUAGCUUAACCUUCGGGAGGGCGCUUACCACUUUGUGAUUCAUGACUGGGGUGAAGUCGUAACAAGGUAAGCGUACGUGU